rnacentral:rRNA from 1 species
GAUGAACGCUGGCGGCGUGCCUAAUACAUGCAAGUCGAGCGAACAGACGAGGAGCUUGCUCCUCUGACGUUAGCGGCGGACGGGUGAGUAACACGUGGAUAACCUACCUAUAAGACUGGGAUAACUUCGGGAAACCGGAGCUAAUACCGGAUAAUAUAUUGAACCGCAUGGUUCAAUAGUGAAAGACGGUUUUGCUGUCACUUAUAGAUGGAUCUGCGCCGCAUUAGCUAGUUGGUAAGGUAACGGCUUACCAAGGCAACGAUGCGUAGCCGACCUGAGAGGGUGAUCGGCCACACGGGAACUGAGACACGGUCCAGACGCCUACGGGAGGCAGCAGUAGGGAAUCUUCCGCAAUGGGCGAAAGCUUGACGGAGCAACGCCGCGUGAGUGAUGAAGGUCUUCGGAUCGUAAAACUCUGUUAUUAGGGAAGAACAAAUGUGUAAGUAACUAUGCACGUCUUGACGGUACCUAAUCAGAAAGCCACGGCUAACUACGUG